rnacentral:rRNA from 1 species
GACGAACGCUGGCGGCGUGCCUAAUACAUGCAAGUAGAACGCACAGGAUGCACCGUAGUUUACUACACCGUAUUCUGUGAGUUGCGAACGGGUGAGUAACGCGUAGGUAACCUGCCUGGUAGCGGGGGAUAACUAUUGGAAACGAUAGCUAAUACCGCAUAAGAACAUUUACUGCAUGGUAGAUGUUUAAAAGGUGCAAAAGCAUCACUACCAGAUGGACCUGCGUUGUAUUAGCUAGUUGGUGAGGUAACGGCUCACCAAGGCAACGAUACAUAGCCGACCUGAGAGGGUGAUCGGCCACACUGGGACUGAGACACGGCCCAGACUCCUACGGGAGGCAGCAGUAGGGAAUCUUCGGCAAUGGGGGGAACCCUGACCGAGCAACGCCGCGUGAGUGAAGAAGGUUUUCGGAUCGUAAAGCUCUGUUGUUAAGGAAGAACGUGUGUGAGAGUGG